UGGUCAGGUUGGUCUUAAGGUUUAGGUCCAAUAGGCCGGCCCGGCAACGAUUCAUCAUGGCCAAGCACGGCCCAUGACGUGGGGCCAUUAUGAUGACUAUCCCAUUAAACUAAUACAUAAUUAAAUAUUAAUAUAUUUAUUCAUUAUUUUUCAAGUAAAACAUACAGUUCGGAGCUAAUAAGACUAAAUAAUUGUGAUAUUAGGUUUUAAACUAGAUUCAAAUAAUUUUUUUCUGAUAAUAUAAAAUAACUAAAGUUUGUUGAGCCUCUUGUUUAGUGGCACGGCCCAAGAACGGCUUAGGCCCAUAUGCACCUUUAGGUGUUAGACCGUUUGACACCUUUAGUUUUUAGGGGUGGGCAUGAGAACCAUAGAAUUGAGAAACCGAAUUGAAACAUGACAAAAAAAUUAAAAAAAAAAAAUCGAAAAAAGAAAAUUUGUGUUUGUUGACAAAAAAAAAAAAAAAAAAAAAAAAAAAAAAAACAAAAAUUAACUUUUGACAAGAAUUGAAUUGAGUCGAUUCAGAUUGGUUUCGAUUUAGGUUCUCAACUUGAAAAAACUAGCAUGACCGAACUGAACCAAUUAAUGGUAAUUUAAUUUUUAUGUUUUUUUUCAACAAACGAUAUUUUCUACCUUAAGAGGAGAGGGUGAGAAUUUAAUUUUUAUGUUUUUAAAUAUAUUCAAUAAACAUAACCCAUCUAAUACUAAUCUCUCGCAAGGCCUACCAAAUUUAACUAAAUCGAAGGUCCAAAGGCCCAUAACCUAACUAAACCCUACUGACUCUAUGUCUCUUCCUCUUCCUUUUCUUUAUGCAGUCUGGCCACCAAACCAGUCUCACAUUUUGUCUCUCCCCCUUUAGAGCCAAUCUCUCUUUUCUUCUCUACCAUUUCUUCUCUCUUCCCUUCUUCGCCCUCUCGUUUCUUCUCUACUAGUCUCACAAAUCUUGCAGGUUUAUGUUUUUACCUUGUACACUUCCAGUAGUUUGGCUCAAAUUUGUAAGAAUUUGUCGGUGAAAACAUACUGUUGGACGUUGAAGCAGGACUCGAAGGAAAAAUAUAUCUCUACAAUAGAAUGCCAGAAGAGUACUUUGGUGUCUCAAGCCCCUUAAACAAAAAAAAUAAAACAAAAAAACAAAAAAUUUAAAAAAUGUACAGUUAGAACAAUAAACUCAAGCGUAAGAGUGGAAAGGUUUUCAAAAAAGAAGAAUAAAAAAAGGAUAACGUGAGAGAAAGGAUCGAUCACCACGUUCAGUUUUGCAACUACAUUCAGCAGUCAUCCUUUCGGUUUUGCAGACUACCACACUGGUACGUGGGAUAACGUUCGGUUUUGUAGACUCCGACACUCCAACACUCCAACGUGGGAUAAAAGGGGUAGAAACCAACGUCCAAGUCGCCGAUUCUUCUUUUUUCAAUUUUUUUCUUUGAGAUUUGCGGUGAUUCCUCUCCCUCCCUAUCCCAGGUGCUCAAAUGAAAUUAAUCUGUGUAUAAGCUUCCGUUUUGAUUUGCGGUACAGAGUGUUUGCUUUUGUUUGUUUUGCUUGCUUCUGUUUUCUCUACUGAUAAAAUUAUUUGUAUUUUUAGGAUGCCAAGUUUGGUAGCAAGAAAGCGCCGGAGCCACAGCAAAACGGGCAGUCCACUGAUGGUGCGGUGAGUAAUCGGAGUAGUUCACAUGAAGAGAACAGGCAAAAAACUCGGCAACUCCUUCAAAUGGAGUCUUAUCUGCAAAACGUGUUAAAUUUCAUUGAGGAUGUCUUCUGUAAAAUCCAGUGCGAGGGUUCUAUGUGCUGUUGUCGUGGAUGAGGAAGCGAUGCAAAGGCAUCUUUAAAUUCAUAUGCCUUCUGGAAAUUCCAGUGCGAGGGUUCUAUGUGUUGUUCCCGUGGAUGAGGAGGCGAUGCAAAGCACGAUUUAAUUUUGAAGAUAGAGUUCGUUUCUUUUUCUAUUUUACUUGUCUUUUUUUCAUUUAUGUUUGACUGGAUUUUGAUAAUUUGAUGGUGGUCUUUCGUUUCUCAUAGGUUAGAGAAUUUUUGUCUUUUAAAUUACUCCUCUCGGUAGAGAAGAAUAUAUAGCUCUUCUCUGCACUGAUAUUAACAUGCAAGUUACUGUUAUUGCA